GGGUAGGAGGGCAAUGUGGCCAUGGCAUCUGUCACCCCUUUGAUCAUCAGGGUUCAUUUGGCUGAUAUGGCUGGCUAGAUGGUUGUCUCUGUCCUUUGUCAUGGCUUCAGUUCUGCCCCUGCCAACUCUGUAUGUGGGGAAGAGGCCAACUUUCUCUGAUAGAGGAUGAUCAUUCUUCAGUCAAGGGCACAUGAGUAGCUGUGCUCCUCUGCUAGAAUUUUAAGCUUUCAAGGUACUUUGUAGGAGAAUUAUGUAGUCAAUUUUCUGAGACUCCAAGAGACAUCCAAAUGAGGCAUUGCACUAGGGAAUGUGCCUUUCUAA
rnacentral:snRNA from 1 species